UAACGGAAGGGGGCUAGCGUUGUUCGGAGUUACUGGGCGUAAAGGGCGCGUAGGCGGGCCCUCCAAGUCGGGACCGGUGAAAGCCCACGGCUCAAACCGUGGAAUUGCGCUCGAGACUGAAGGGCUCGAGGACGGGAGAGGAUGGUGGAAUUCCCAGUGUAGAGGUGAAAUUCGUAGAUAUUGGGAAGAACACCGGUGGCGAAGGCGGCCAUCUGGACCGUAUCUGACGCUGAGGCGCGAAAAGCGUGGGGGAGCAAACAGGG
rnacentral:rRNA from 1 species